ACUGGCAUUUUCUCAAGCUGCGGUAUGUGCAGAAGAUCAUCCCGGUCAGUGUGCUCAACCCUGACUUCAGGUACUGGCAGUCGUGAGAGUCCAUCUGCAUUGCAGUAUUUGGUAGUACUCUUGUACUCAAUCUCAUAGUCGUGACUUGCAAGGAAGAUGGCAUAUCGCACCAAACGUGAUGCUGUUGUUAUAGGAAGACUUUUAGCGGGGUGAAAUAUGGAAGUGAGCGGUUGAUGAUCAGUCAGCGAGGUAUCCUUCAUGCUGCUGCUGAAGUGAAAGGAGAUAAAUCUGUUCUCCAUGAUCACAGUUUCAAGGGAUGAAAUUCAACGUAACUGCGGUUACUUAUAUACAUGUAUAUCAAAAGCAUGGCUACACAAGAUGAAGGAAGCUGUUGGAAACCAAGCAAGGAAAAAAACAAGAUGACACAGAAGAAUGUCCACCAACACAUACAUGAAGGAAGUGGUGUCCCAAGUAUACCAAGAGUUUUCUACAGAAGGACUUCAUCAAAUACCAAUAUUACUUGAAACAACUGCAAACAACAGUACAUGAGAUAUACAUGUGUGUGUACAUGUACAUGUCCCCUGCAUAUUUGUUCAAGAUCACUGCAGAAACUGUGAUCACAGGUCUCAGAAGCAUUACACACAGUUUCAACAUCACAAGAUCCUGAAAUUUUGAGU